AUUGAACGCUGGCGCCUUGCUUAACACAUGCAUGUCGAACGGUAACAGGUUAAGCUGACGAGUGGCGAACGGGUGAGAAAUGCAUCGGAAAGUGCUCGAUCGUGGGGGAUAACGCAGCGGAGGCUGCGCUAAUACAGCAUACGAUCUGAGGAUGAAAGCGGGGGACCGUAAGGCCUCGCGCGCUCGGAGGGGCCGCGGGUAGGUGAGGUAGUUGGUGGGGUAAAGGCCCACCAAGCAGCCGAUCGGUAGCUGGCCGGAGAGGACGACCAGCCACACUGGAGCGGAGACACGGCCCAGACUCCUACGGGAGGCAGCAGUGGGGAAUUGUGGACAAUGGGCGAAAGCCUGAUCCAGCAAUGCCGCGUGCAGGAAGAAGGCCUUCGGGUUGUAAACUGCUUUUGUACGGAGCGAAAAGCUCCUUUCUAAUACAAGGGGCUCAUGACGGUACCGGAAGAAUAAGCACCGGCUAACUACGUGCCAGCAGCCGCCGUAAUAC
rnacentral:rRNA from 1 species